GACGAACGCUGGCGGCGUGCUUAACACAUGCAAGUCGAGCGGAGCGGCGAACGGGUGAGUAACGCGUGAGUAACUGCCCCCCUCUCUGGGAUAACAGUUGGAAACGGCUGCUAAUACCGGAUAGCGGGGGAUGACUCGGGUCCUAUCAGCUUGUUGGUGGGGUAGUGGCCUCCCACGGCGACGACGGGUAGCCGGCCUGCGAGGGCGACCGGCCAAAUAGGGCUGGGGUACGGCCCAAAAUCCUACGGGAGGCAGCAGUGGGGAAUAUUGCACAAUGGGGGAAACCCUGAUGCAGCAACGCGCGGGCGGGAUGAAAGGCUUCGGGUUGUAAACCGCGUUCAGCCAUGACGCGGUAGUGGCAGAAGAAGCACCGGCUAACUACGUGCCAGCCGCCGCGGUAAUAC
rnacentral:rRNA from 1 species